rnacentral:lncRNA from 1 species
UAAAAUGCAAAAAGUCGAAAAGUCGACUUUUAAUUAAAUGAAAAAAAAUCGACUUUUCGUUUCAACUAUAGAACCCUAUUAAGACCAAACUAACAAAUAAACAUGCAAACAUACAUAGAUAUCCUUGCUCCAAAUUUAAUGAAGACCGGACCAUGUUUAUUAAGGUAAAAUUCAACAUUCAAAGUUUCUUUAUGGAAAAUAAAUAAUUUAUAAAUAUAAAAUAUACUUAUCAUAUAGGGAAUCAUAUUCGGCCAUGCUCCACUAUACUUUCCUAGUUCUUUUUAAAUAACUAUAAAAAUACAGAAGUUAACACAAAUAUUAAAAAUAAUACGCUCCAUACAUGCCUUACUAAAACGUAGGUUGCUCGUUGUCCAAUAAAGAUAUUCAUAAUAAUAUUACAAUUUAAAAAUCAGUCCAUUUUCAUUUGGUCUAGACCAUUAUUCUUAUAUUUCAAUUUGAAACGAUUUGUUUUUGAACGCAAAUGUAUGCAAUUUCUUUUUUGGUAAAUAAACUUAAAUAUAUGUCAUUUAAAGUCCCCUUACGAAGGUAUUAAACGUUUAUCAAAUUGGCUUAAUUUAAGUAAAAUACAAGCAAGCAAUUUAAAGUAUACGCUUAAACAUUCUGACUUAAUUUUACAUAAAAAAACGAGAUUUAUUUCCUACAUAUCUUUUUAGUUGUUGCAGGGAAUCCACCGUAUUUCAAAUAUAAAAUGAUUUUUAUAUAAAUUUUUCCAUAAAAGUUAACACGUUGUAUGUAUUACUGCCAUAAUUUUUAUCCCUUACUUAUACUUUAUUUGAAAAAAGUAUUCUAAAUAUUCCUGUACAAUCUACAUAAGAAUGGAUUCUCCACUAACUCCUGUAGUGCCACAUAUGUAUGUAUAAGUAUGGAGUGUGGAGUUUUUACCUUUGGAUGUCUGUUUACAUCAUCAAAAAUAAAAAAGGAACAUAAAUCAUACAUAUAAAAACGUAUUAUGGAAACAUAUUGAAACCAUUGUGCAAGAGGAGAUAAAACUCUUCAGGUGUAAAUAAAAAGCACACCGGAAUGAUACCUUAGAUGUUGUUGCUUUUACUCCUUUUUUUUUGCUGUUGCUGUUUUAUAUUCAUUGGUAUUUUAAUUCAAACAAACAUGUAUUAUAUGUUGCCAGGCUGUUAAAAGAAUGUAUGCAUUUGUUGAAUAAAAAUAUAAAUAAUUUUCAACUUUUUUAUUCUAAAUAAACUUAGAUAAAUUUUAAAACCAUUUUGUGCUUGCGAAUAAAACUAACUUGUUCUAUUGGUUAGUUUUAUUCACAAUAAUUUAUCGAUUUUAAAAUACUACUGCUGCUUACAAAUAAUCUUAAGUUAUUUUGGAAAUCGAUUUUUAAAAGUAAUAAAUUAUUUUAUAGUCCUGACAAUAUACCAAAACUGGUAUUACAGUACAAUACACAAAUAAAUUCAUGCAAUAUCAGCAGUAGUAAACAACAAAAUAGAAACAAAUCUAAUGUAAAUUUUUCUAUUUUAGGCUGAUUUUUUGUUGUAAUUUUAUUAAAGGUUUUCUUUAUAAAAUUUUAAUCAUUAAUAGGACCAAUUAGUUUAAAAACACAUUUAUGAAAAUUUUCUAGGGAUUAAUAAAUUUUUAGUUGAACUUUUUUUUUUGUUGACAUUCAAACAUGAGAACUUGUUAUUACUUUUUAAAUCCGUUUUCAAGCCAGGAAUGAGCGUUAAGGCAUUUUCUGAAGGGUAGCAUAAAUGGAGUGUAGGGUCAAUUAUAUUCGUUCUUACAAAAUCUGUGUAUUUUCUUAUAACUAUAUUAUCCCUAUUAAGAACCUUAUUUAUAAACAGUUAUCAAAGGUGUAUAAAACAUACUUAUAUAGUAUGAAAAUUAGUUUUAUAAACCUUUGAUAAAAGUUUAUGAAUGAGAGCCUAGUAGUUACCGUUAAAAUUUUUUCUGAAUGAGGCCUUAUAAAGGGUACAUUAUAACCCGAUCUUUAUAAAAUUUGGGAUUAUCAAGUAAAAAUAUUUCUAAUAAGAUCAAGAAAAAAAGUGAUAUUUUACUAUUUAUAUUUCCUACACCACUUAAGUCGGUAGGGGUUUUUUUAAGGCGUAUUAAAGUACACCAAUUGGCUCAAAAUCAUUUUCUGUGUCGAUUUAUCUAUAUCAUCUAUUCGACAGUCCAUGUAAAGUUGUGCGCACGCUGAAAUCGGUUCACUAGUUUUCCUAGCUCUCAAUAUUAUGCUGUAAUAACGUUUCAAACCCGGAACGAUAUCUUAAAUAACAGAUCUGAUAAGUCCAGAUUUGGAUAAAGUGUAGCUCAAUCUUUUACAAAAGUAUAUCUUGGUGUUUGUAUUAGAAAAUUAUCGAAAUUAUUACCUCUGUAAUUAAAUAAAUAUCUAGUUACAACUGUUUUUGUUCUUUGGUCCCCCCUAAUACUAUUUGUUCCAAAUUUUUUCUAUUAGACUCUAAAAAAUUUAAAUUUCAGGUGCUUGUUUGUUUUCCAUUUACCUAGAAGCAUUAUGUAUGUAUUUGUAUGUAUGUAUACGUACAUAUCCAGAUAAAUAUAUGUAUGUGUAUCUUCAUAUUUUUAUGGUCGUAUGUGGUGGUAAUGAAAGGAAAUUAAAUUGUUAUGAUUUUUUUUUAAGGUUUAAAAGAAAAUUUUUGGUUUGGAAACAAAAAUACAUUUUACUGGUCAUAAAAGCAUACAAAACAUUUAGUAUUUACUUACUAAUUAAACGUACACAUCUGUCUGUAUGGUACCUUCCCAAAAAUAUUGCAUGCGAUAAAAAUGCACUUUUUGUUUGAGUCUUUUCUCAAAUUCUCACAUCUACUUAUGUUUGUCAUCAUGUUUAUUUUUUACAAUAUACAUUGUAUAUAUAUAAAUACAGGUAGUACUCAUUUUUUCUGUACGCAGUGGAUUCAUAUUUUUGUCCUCUUUUAACAGACGGACAUACAUAUAGUAUAUGUAUUAUCUUCAAUUUCUUUUGAUAUUAUUUAAUUACGCAGUAAAAUUUGACUAAAUAACUAGCUUCAUCACCAACUUGAUUUCAUUAUCAAAGUUAAUGUGGUUACGAUCAGUGGUUACUAAUAAAAGUUAAAUUAAUAAAAAUUAAAAUACAUGUGCUAGUUAUAUAACCAUUAGUGAAUGGAAAAAUUUAUAAAUUUUAGAAUUCUCCAGAUUCUUGUAAAUUAUAAUUAUAGACAAAGGAAGAAUAAAAUCAUUUUCUACAAGUAAAAUCUGACCAAGUUUAUAUCCGAAUAUAUGGUUACUAAACGCACCGAGCGUAAAAUUCAAGAGGUUUUAGAACUUAAAUCAUCAGAUUCGGAAAAUUAAACUCCACAAUUAAAGUCCAUACGUGGCCACGAGGCCCGCCACAUGUGACUAGAGUCACCUUAAAUACAUCACCAAUUUUUCCACAUAUAGAAGUCCAUUUUGGCCACGAGGUCACUACAUUUGACGUUAAGACACAAUUUCCAAAAUUAGGGACUGCACACAAGUUAAAGUCUACACGUGUCCUUCAUCUAAUUGCUUUUUCACAACACACGUGAUCGAGAAGUUCAUCACAUCUGACCAAAGUCACCUAAACACGACCCGGAGUGAGAAUUAAAUUCCCACGUGGCCGUGAAGGUCUUCACACCUAGUCACGCCAAAUUAUAUAUUUAAAUGUGCCUUAAUUAUUCAUUAAAAACUAUUUAAAAAUUAUUAAAAUCUAAUCUAAUAAAAAAAUUCGCUAAAUAUUACCUAAAUCUUAAAAUCUAACCAUUAUUUCUUAAACUAGUUCUAAAAUAUUAUAAUUUUUGUAUUAAAUCUUUCCAAACGUAAACGAAUUUAAACUAAUUAAUUAAAACCUUAUGUAAUGUGAUUUUUACAAGUGACAUAAAUUGUCUCAAAAUGAAUUAAUCUAAAACAAUUAAAAAGAUUUAAUACAAAAAUGUACUAAAUAUUUUCUAAAACAUAAUAAUACUCUAAACUUUAACCUUAAUUUUUCUAAAAUAAAUAUAAAUAUCACAGCUAUUUGAACUAAACUAACUUAUAAAUAAUCUAACUAAAUUAUAUUAAUGCUAAAUUAACUAUUAUUGCACAUUUUAUAUACGAUUUAAAAUAGUUUAUUUUUUUUAUUUUUUAUAAAUUCCUAUUUAAAAUGUAAUUUAUAUUGUUCCUAAUCUCCAAACAUUUCUGAAUUGUUUAAAAUCAUGAAUUAUAUUUACUUAAUUAUACAAUGAAUUAAUUUACUAUUGUCAGCAUUUUCUAAACUUACAUUACUAUUAUAAUACAAUCAUACUUAUUUAAUUUUAUAACUAAAAUUUCUUUAAGUAUAUAUCUAAAUAUCUAAACUUAUUAAUAGUAACAAAAAAAAUCAUAAUUUAGAGAUUUACAUCAUUUGAGCUAAAUAUCAACAACACCAAUUACUACAGAUUUGCUGGGCCCAUCAAUGAAACACUAGUAAUGGAUCAUCAAACAUAAUGUAAAUAUUCUCACUAUUUUAUGUUUUACUUUUGGGGUACAAGUCGUAUACAUGCAAGUUUAUGGAUUCUUUUUGUUAAAAAAAAGUUCUCCUCCAACGGCAACGUUUGUACUUAUAAGGAAAGAGGCCAUUUAUCCACCUACUUACCAGCAGAAGAGCAUUUGUUGUAGUGGCAGAAGGACAGCAAUAAUAAAUACCGAAGAAACGAUGCCACAUGCUACAAACAAACAUGCAGAUACAAGUAUAAGUAUUUGUUGUUGUAAAGAUUCUCAUAAAGUGUGUAAAUUUAAAAUAAGUAUCUAUAUCUGUACACAUACAUACAUACAUACAUACAUACAUAUACAUUAAUAUAAAUUCUUUUUAUUUAUUUGUACAUAUUUAUGUAUUUCUUUUAUAUUCAAUUGUAUGUAUUUUAAGUUUUUUUGUAUCCCUCACCCUUAGAAGAAGAUUCAAUACAAAUAAAAAAUCAAUUAAAUUUUUAAGAACAAUAAAAUU